CCUACUCCUUGAAGUCUUCCAGGGUUCGGCGGAAGGAAACGCUGGAUAUUCUUAAAUAAAAUUGCACUAAGACUCUUGGGAUACCUUGGAUGACAUCUAAGGCUUUUUCCAGCGCCAAAUCUGAGAUUUUUAAAAGAGACUUUUAUCUUUUGCAGCGUUCACCCCCUCCCCCCAUUUGAGAACAGCAAUGAGAGUCUUGGGGAGAAAACAAGCAUUUAUUAAGCAUCUAACUUCAAUCAGACACUAUACUAGGUUCUUGCAACUGAAAAAUAAAAUAAGCAAACCCUUCCCUCAAGCAAAUUAUAUUCCAUUAAUAGGAAACAAUGCUUCCGAGGGUUCAAUGGAAACGUCUGAUUCAGAGGAAGGUUAGGAUAAUUAUGAGAGAGCAAGGAAGGAAGCAUCCAUCUGGCCCACUUAAGACUAGAAGCACAGAGAUGUUGAGUGGAGACAUAGGGUAGUAGAUUUCUCUUGCUCUUCACAGCAAAGCAGACAUAGACUACUUGCUCCUUGAGAACCAACAUCUACUAUCCAAAUAAAUGGUCAUUGUAUCUUCCAUCAUGUCUUCUGUACAUGAGUCAUCGAAGUCCAGGAACAAGAUAAAAGUCCAAACAACCAAUGAUAGCUUGGGAUGCAGUGGAAGACCUUGGUUUUUUCAAAGGCUAACCAAGCUCUAAUCAUUCCAUAAUGCCUGUUUCAGCUGUCUUCAUGGACUUUGGAACAAAUUCUUCUCAUCCACCCCUUCUGCCAGGCAAAGUCUUCACAUGCCUGGGAUUAGACACCUUCAUCUAAACAGAAUUUCUGUAG